rnacentral:rRNA from 1 species
AAACUAACAAGGAUUCCCCUAGUAACGGCGAGUGAAGCGGGAUGAGCUCAAAUUUAAAAUCUGGCAGCAUCAGUUGUCCGAGUUGUAGUCUAGAGAAGUGUUUUCCGCGUUGGCCUGUGUACAAGUCCCUUGGAAUAGGGCGUCAUAGAGGGUGAGAAUCCCGUCCUUGACACAGAUCCCAAUGCUUUGUGAUACGCUCUCAAAGAGUCGAGUUGUUUGGGAAUGCAGCUCAAAAUGGGUGGUAAAUUCCAUCUAAAGCUAAAUAUUGGCGAGAGACCGAUAGCGAACAAGUACCGUGAGGGAAAGAUGAAAAGCACUUUGGAAAGAGAGUUAAACAGUACGUGAAAUUGUUGAAAGGGAAACGAUUGAAGUCAGUCAUGCUUCUCUGGAUUCAGCUUGUUCUACAAGUGUAUUUCCAGUUUUGCAGGCCAGCAUCAGUUUUGUUUGGUGGAAAAAGCUUGAGGAACGUGGCAACUUCGGUUGUGUUAUAGCCUCUCUGCGCAUACAUCAGAUGGGACUGAGGAACGCAGUGUGCCUUUAUGGUCGGUCUUCGGACACGUACGCACUUAGGAUGCUGGCAUAAUGGCUUUAAACGAC